AACGAACGCUGGCGGCAUGCCUAACACAUGCAAGUCGAACGAGACCUUCGUGUCUAGUGGCGCACGGGUGCGUAACGCGGGGGAACCUGCCCUUAGGCUCGGAAUAACUCCCCGUAAGGGGUGCUAAUACCGGGUAAUUUCCUCGGAUCAAAGAUUUAUCGCCCUUGGAUGGGCCCGCGUUGGUUUAGCUAGUUGGUAGGGUAAAAGCCUAUCAAGGCUACGCUCCAUAGCUGGUCUGAGAGGAUGAUCAGCCACACUGGGACUGAGACACGGCCCAGACUACUACGGGAGGGAGCAGUGGGGAAUAUAGGACAACGGGGGAAAGCAUGAUCCAGCAAGGCCGCGUGAGUGAUGAAGGCCGUAGGGUUGUAAAGCUCUUUUACACGGGAUGAUAAUGACAGUACCGGGAGAUUAAGCACCGGCUAACUUCGUG
rnacentral:rRNA from 1 species